CAGGCGCGAAACCUUUACAAUGCACGAAAGUGUNAUAAGGUUACCCNGAGUGCUCAGAGCAAACUUUGAGNUUUAAUAGGUGUGUAAACAACCCUAUGAGAAAGGAGAGGGCAAGGCUGGUNCCAGCCGCCGCGGUAAAACCAGCUCUUCAAGUAGUCGGGAAUNUUAUUGGGCUUAAAGCGUCCGUAGCCGGUUUGGUAAGUUCCUGGUUAAAUCUGGCAGCUUAACUGUCAGUCAGCUAGGAAUACUACCUUACUAGAGGGCGGGAAAGGUNUGAGGUACUCCGGGGGUAGCGGUGAAAUGCGAUAAUCCUCGGGGGACCACCAGUGGCGAAGGCGUCAUACUGGAACGCGCCUGACGGUGAGGGACGAAAGCCAGGGGAGCGAACGGGAUUAGAUACCCCGGUAGUCCUGGCUGUAAACGAUGCGUGCUAGGUGUUGGAAGGGCUUUGAGCCGUUUCAGUGCCGUAGGGAAACCUGUUAAAGCGCGCCGCCU
rnacentral:rRNA from 1 species